rnacentral:pre_miRNA from 9 species
UCUCGAUAGCGUAAAAGUUAACUCAGAUUUGUAUGGAGCUGAAAUGUUUGCCGCUAGGGGCACUGUUUCAACUGCAUACAAUUUUGAGUUAACUUUUACGCUAUCGA